AUGACAUUCAGAGGGCUCCUCCAAGCCCACGGUGGCUCUGGGAGUGUGUGGGACUGUGUGGCGAGGACCUUUGUCACCUUGCCAAAUUUGACAUGUUCAAAAUCCAGGUGUGAUGCGGGGGACGUCCUAUGACUCAAGCA